AGCUAGUCUACUACCAUCACCACCAUCGAAAUAAUCUUAUUUUGUUUCCCAGCCAUGUUUCCGGUCAGUGCCUCUUUGCUGGCAAACUUCUGCUAUAGGUAAGCUUCCUGCUUCCGAUUCUGCUGCCGCUUAGAGUCCAGGUCACGGCUGGCAAGAACCUUCCGUCAGUUUUUAUUUUCAUCAAUCCGCUACCGGUGAUGGGAACGAUCCUGUUUGAUGUAAGUUUCCUGAUUCCAUUUGGGAACCAGCUGAUCGGCCUCCGAUUUACUGGAAGGUUGACGCCUGUUCGGAUCUGUCGACGUUUUCCUUACCGGGGCAGGUUCUUCAUCUUAACUUUCACAACUAGAUUCGGAAUCAAAUGAGGCCAUUUUCUUGGCAAUCGUCGGCAAAGUCAUUUUGAAGGUUUCACUAUUUCCCAUUGGUUAUUCGAACUUAAGUGACCGUAACAAGUUCGCGGGAUGCGGCCGCUACAUAUGCAUGGACUGGACCACCAGAUGAUGGUCAUCUAGAAGUUGGUCCGCCUCUCAGUUUGGACUGCGAUCGCGAAACUUCCAAAGCGGUCCAACUCUUUAGACAAUGCGGGUUUUUGCCCUUCUCCGAAAAAAGAGAAAAGGAAAUUUGACUUGGCUUUGCUGAUUUUCCCUCGUUCGGAAAAGCCGGGUUUCACGGAACUCUAUUUAUGGGGCCAAGAGAAAGAAAAUUUUAAGAUCAAUCGGAACAACACGGCAAGAAGUUUUGAUAAGAUCAUUUGAAAGGAGUUGGGGGUCGGCAACUGCUCCUUUUUGCAUCUUUUUGAA